rnacentral:rRNA from 1 species
UGCGUAGGCGGUUUCGUGUGUCGGGUGUGAAAUCUCACCGUUCAUCGGUGAAACUGCACUCGAAACUACGGGACUAGAGUACAGGAGAGGAGAGCGGAAUUCUCGGUGUAGCGGUGAAAUGCGUAGAUAUCGAGAAGAACGCCGGUGGCGAAAGCGGCUCUCUGGACUGAUACUGACGCUGAGGCACGAAAGCUGGGGGAGCAAACA